rnacentral:pre_miRNA from 1 species
UUGUGCUUCAUUCAGUUGGUGAGCAUGAAUUUGGUUCACGUUUAUAAAAGUGUUCUUGACUAGAUUCAAUGCUCAUCUAUUGAGCGGAGCGAA